GACGAACGCUGGCGGCGUGCUUAACACAUGCAAGUCGAGCGGUAAGGCCCUUUCGGGGGUACACGAGCGGCGAACGGGUGAGUAACACGUGGGUGACCUGCCCUUAGCUCUGGGAUAAGCCUGGGGAACUGGGUCUAAUACCGGAUAUGACUCCAUGACGCAUGUUGUGGGGUGGAAAGCCUUGUGCGGCUAGGGGAGUCGGGCCCGCGGCCUAUCA
rnacentral:rRNA from 1 species